rnacentral:rRNA from 1 species
CACGUAGGGUGCAAGCGUUGUCCGGAAUUAUUGGGCGUAAAGAGCUUGUAGGCGGUUUGUCGCGUCUGCUGUGAAAAUCCGGGGCUCAACCCCGGACUUGCAGUGGGUACGGGCAGACUAGAGUGUGGUAGGGGAGACUGGAAUUCCUGGUGUAGCGGUGAAAUGCGCAGAUAUCAGGAGGAACACCGAUGGCGAAGGCAGGUCUCUGGGCCACUACUGACGCUGAGAAGCGAAAGCAUGGGGAGCGGACAGG